rnacentral:rRNA from 1 species
CUAGCUCACUGGUCGAGUGAUCCUGCGCCGAAAAUUUCCGGGGCUAAAACGUACUACCGAAGCUACGGCAUCAUUUAUGAUGGGUAGGGGAGCUUCGUAUGCAGGCUGAAGCAUGACCGUAAGGACAUGUGGACAGUAUACGAGUGAGAAUGUUGGCAUGAGUAGCGAGACGUGGGUGAGAAUCCCACGGGCCGUAAACCCAAGGUUUCCAGGGGAAGGUUCGUCCGCCCUGGGUUAGUCGGGACCUAAGCCGAGGCCGAAAGGCGUAGGUGAUGGACAACAGGUUGAUAUUCCUGUACCGCCAAUAAGCGUUUGAGAGAUGGAGUGACACAGUAGGAUAAGCUAACCGUACUGUUGGUUAUGUACGGCUAAGCAUUGAGGCAGUCUAAAUAGGCAAAUCCGUUUAGACAAUGCUAGGAUGUGAUGGGGAAGCCCUUCGGGGCGAAGUAGCUGAUUUCACACUGUCAAGAAAAGCUUCUAUCGAGUUUAGAGGCGCCCGUACCGUAAACCGACACAGGUGGGUGAGGAGAGUAUCCUAAGGCCAGCGAGAGAACUAUUGUUAAGGAACUCGGCAAAAUGACCCCGUAACUUAGGGAGAAGGGGUGCCUGUCUAUGACAGGCCGCAGAGAAUAGGCCCAAGCGACUGUUUACCAAAAACACAGGUUUCUGCUAAGUCGCAAGACGAUGUAUAGGAGCUGACGCCUGCCCGGUGCUGGAAGGUUAAGGGGAUCUGUUAGAGCAAUCGAAGCAGUGAACUUAAGCCCCAGUAAACGGCGGCCGUAACCAUAACGGUCCUAAGGUAGCGAAAUUCCUUGUCGGGUAAGUUCCGACCCGCACGAAAGGCGUAACGAUUUGGGCACUGUCUCAACAAUAGACUCGGUGAAAUUGUAAUCCCGGUGAAGAUGCCGGGUACCUGCGACAGGACGGAAAGACCCCAUGGAGCUUUACUGUAGCUUGACGUUGGGUCUUGGUACUACAUGUACAGGAUAGGUGGGAGACUAUGAAGCAUGGACGCCAGUCUGUGCGGAGUCAUCCUUGGGAUACCACCCUUGUAGUACUGGGAUCCUAACCAUAGGCCUUGAAUCAGGUCUUGGAACACCGUCAGGUGGGCAGUUUGACUGGGGCGGUCGCCUCCUAAAAAGUAACGGAGGCGCUCAAAGGUUUCCUCAGCACGGUCGGAAAUCGUGCGAAGAGUGUAAAGGCAAAAGGAAGCUUGAUUGCAAGACAUACAGGUCGAGCAAGGACGAAAGUCGGACUUAGUGAUCCGGUGGUACCGCAUGGAAGGGCCAUCGCUCAACGGAUAAAAGCUACCCUGGGGAUAACAGGCUUAUCUCCCCCAAGAGUCCACAUCGACGGGGAGGUUUGGCACCUCGAUGUCGGCUCAUCACAUCCUGGGGCUGUAGUAGGUCCCAAGGGUUGGGCUGUUCGCCCAUUAAAGUGGUACGCGAGCUGGGUUCAGAACGUCGUGAGACAGUUCGGUCCCUAUCCGUCGCAGGCGUAGGAAAUUUGUGAAGACCUGUCCUUAGUACGAGAGGACCGGGAUGGACGUACCUCUGGUGUACCAGUUGUUCUGCCAAGGGCAUGGCUGGGUAGCUAUGUACGGAAUGGAUAAGCGCUGAAAGCAUCUAAGCGCGAAGCCGACUUCAAGAUAAGAUUUCCCACCGUAAGGGUAAGACCCCAGGAAGACUACCUGGUUGAUAGGUCGAAGGUGUAAGUGCAGUAAUGUAUUUAGCUUAUCGAUACUAAUAGGUCGAGGACUUGACC